CACUGAAGGCCUAUAGGUUCACCACUGUACUAACCUGUCACACACUGAAAGCCUAUAGGUUCACCACUGUACUAACCUGUCACACACUGAAGGCCUAUAGGUUCACCACUGUACUAACCUGUCACACUGAAGGCCUAUAGGUUCACCACUGUACUAACCUGUCACACACUGAAGGCCUAUAGGUUCACCACUGUACUAACCUGUCACACACUGAAGGCCUAUAGGUUCACCACUGUACUAACCUGUCACACACUGAAAGCCUAUAGGUUCACCACUGUACUAACCUGUCACACACUGAAGGCCUAUAGGUUCACCACUGUACUAACCUGUCACACACUGAAGACCUAUAGGUUCACCACUGUACUAACCUGUCACACACUGAAGGCCUAUAGGUUCA